AGAUCAUGAAGAGUGAAGUGUUACGAGUCACCCAUGAACUCCAAGCCAUGAAGGACAAGAUCAAAGAGAACAGUGAGAAAAUCAAAGUGAACAAGACCCUGCCAUACUUUGUCUCCAACAUUAUUGAGCUAUUAGAUGUUGAUCCAAAUGACCAAGAAGAGAAUGGUGCCAAUAUUGACCUGGACUCUCAGAGGAAGGGCAAGUGUGCAGUGAUCAAAACCUCUACACAACAGACAUACUUCCUGCCUGUAACUGGGUUGCUGGAUGCUGAAAAGCUGAAGCCAGGAGACCUGAUGAGUGUGAACAAAGACUCUGAUCCCGGAGAUCCUGCCCACAGAGUAUGACUCACUGGUGAAGGCCAUGGAGAUGGAUGAGAGGCCCACAGAGCAAUACAAUGACAUCGGGAGCUUAGACAAGCAGAUCCAGGAGCUGGUAGAAGCCAUUGUCAGGACAAGGAACCACAAGGAGAAAUUUAAGAAUUUGGAGAUCCAGCCUCCAAAUUGGGUGCUAAUGUACGCGCCUCCAGGGACAAGGAAAACUUCACUGGCCCGGGCCUGUGCUGCACAGACUAAGGCCACCUUCCUAAAGCUCGCUGGCCCCCAGCUGGUGCAGAUGUUCACUGGGGAUGGUGCCAAGUUGGUCCAGGACACCUUCACCUUGGCCAAGGAGAAAGCUCCAUCUAUUAUUUUCAUUGAUGAGUUGGAUGCCAUUGGCACCAAGCGCUUUGACAGUGAGAAGGCGGGGGCGGGGGACCAGGAGGUACAAAGGACAAUGCUGGAGCUUACCAACUGGAUGGCUUCCAGCCCAACACACAAGUAAAGGUAAUUGCAGGGUGGGCAUCCUGGCCCUUGCCCUGUCCGCUCAGGCUGUCUGGACCGCAAGAUCGAGUUCCCAAUGCCUAAUGAGGCCCAGGAGAGAAUCAUGCAGAUCCACUCCCAAAAGAUGAAUGUCAGUCCUGACGUGAACUAUGAAGAGCUGGCCCGCUGCACAGAUGAUUUCAAUGGGGUCCAGUGCAAAGCUGUGUGUGUGGAGGCAGGCAUGACCACACUACACAAGGGUGCAACAGUGCUCACCCACGAGGACUGCAUGGAAGGGUAUCCUGGAGGUGCAAGCCAAGAAGAAAGCCAACCUAUAGUACUAUGCCUAGGGGUCCCCCCGGCCUGCCCUUGGUUUCCUGGUGGUUAAAGUGUAUAAUAAAAGAUGGU